rnacentral:tRNA from 1 species
GCCUGGGUGGCUCAGUUGGUUGAGCGUCUGACUUCGGCUCAGGUCAUGAUCUUGCGGUUCGUGAGUUCGAGCCCCGCGUUGGGCU